CAGCAGCCGCGGUAAUACAGAGGGUGCGAGCGUUAAUCGGAUUUACUGGGCGUAAAGCGUGCGUAGGCGGCUUCUUAAGUCGGAUGUGAAAUCCCUGAGCUUAACUUAGGAAUUGCAUUCGAUACUGGGAAGCUAGAGUAUGGGAGAGGAUGGUAGAAUUCCAGGUGUAGCGGUGAAAUGCGUAGAGAUCUGGAGGAAUACCGAUGGCGAAGGCAGCCAUCUGGCCUAAUACUGACGCUGAGGUACGAAAGCAUGGGGAGCAAACAGGAUUAGAUACCCGUGUAGUCUGUCUCUUAUACAC
rnacentral:rRNA from 1 species